UACGUAGGGAGCAAGCGUUGUCCGGAUUUAUUGGGCGUAAAGAGCGUGUAGGCGGCCAGACAGGUCAGCUGUGAAAACUCGAGGCUCAACCUCGAGACGUCGGUUGAAACCGUCUGGCUAGAGUCCGGAAGAGGAGAGUGGAAUUCCCGGUGUAGCGGUGAAAUGCGCAGAUAUCGGGAGGAACACCAGUGGCGAAGGCGGUUACCUGGAGCUUUGCUGACGCUGAUGCGCGAAAGCGUGGGGAGCGAUCCGG
rnacentral:rRNA from 1 species